GGGGCUUAACACAUGCAAGUCGAGGGGCAGCAUGGUCCUUUCUUGCUAAGGCCGAUGGCGACCGGCGCACGGGUGAGUAACACGUAUCCAACCUGCCGUCUACUCUUGGACAGCCUUCUGAAAGGAAGAUUAAUACAAGAUGGCAUCAUGAGUCCGCAUGUUCACAUGAUUAAAGGUAUUCCGGUAGACGAUGGGGAUGCGUUCCAUUAGAUAGUAGGCGGGGUAACGGCCCACCUAGUCUUCGAUGGAUAGGGGUUCUGAGAGGAAGGUCCCCCACAUUGGAACUGAGACACGGUCCAAACUCCUACGGGAGGCAGCAGUGAGGAAUAUUGGUCAAUGGGCGAGAGCCUGAACCAGCCAAGUAGCGUGAAGGAUGACUGCCCUAUGGGUUGUAAACUUCUUUUAUAAAGGAAUAAAGUCGGGUAUGCAUACCCGUUUGCAUGUACUUUAUGAAUAAGGAUCGGCUAACUCCGUGCCAGCAGCCGCGGUAAUACGGAGGAUCCGAGCGUUAUCCGGAUUUAUUGGGUUUAAAGGGAGCGUAGAUGGAUGUUUAAGUCAGUUGUGAAAGUUUGCGGCUCAACCGUAAAAUUGCAGUUGAUACUGGAUAUCUUGAGUGCAGUUGAGGCAGGCGGAAUUCGUGGUGUAGCGGUGAAAUGCUUAGAUAUCACGAAGAACUCCGAUUGCGAAGGCAGCCUGCUAAGCUGCAACUGACAUUGAGGCUCGAAAGUGUGGGUAUCAAACAGGAUUAGAUACCCUGGUAGUCCACACGGUAAACGAUGAAUACUCGCUGUUUGCGAUAUACGGCAAGCGGCCAAGCGAAAGCGUUAAGUAUUCCACCUGGGGAGUACGCCGGCAACGGUGAAACUCAAAGGAAUUGACGGGGGCCCGCACAAGCGGAGGAACAUGUGGUUUAAUUCGAUGAUACGCGAGGAACCUUACCCGGGCUUAAAUUGCAGAUGAAUUACGGUGAAAGCCGUAAGCCGCAAGGCAUCUGUGAAGGUGCUGCAUGGUUGUCGUCAGCUCGUGCCGUGAGGUGUCGGCUUAAGUGCCAUAACGAGCGCAACCCUUGUUGUCAGUUACUAACAGGUUCCGCUGAGGACUCUGACAAGACUGCCAUCGUAAGAUGUGAGGAAGGUGGGGAUGACGUCAAAUCAGCACGGCCCUUACGUCCGGGGCUACACACGUGUUACAAUGGGGGGUACAGAGGGCCGCUACCACGCGAGUGGAUGCCAAUCCCCAAAACCUCUCUCAGUUCGGACUGGAGUCUGCAACCCGACUCCACGAAGCUGGAUUCGCUAGUAAUCGCGCAUCAGCCACGGCGCGGUGAAUACGUUCCCGGGCCUUGUACACACCGCCCGUCAAGCCAUGGGAGCCGGGGGUACCUGAAGUGCGUAACCGCGAGGAGCGCCCUAGGGUAAAACUGGUGACUGGGG
rnacentral:rRNA from 1 species